GACGAACGCUGGCGGCGUGCCUAAUACAUGCAAGUCGAGCGGGCCUCCGGAGGUGCUUGCACCUCCGGAAGGCCAGCGGCGGACGGGUGAGUAACACGUGGGCAACCUGCCUUUGAGGCCGGGAUAACACCGGGAAACCGGUGCUAAUACCGGAUACGUCCUCUUUCGCGCCUGCGAGAGGGGAGAAAGACGGUCUUUAGGCCGUCUCUCAAAGAGGGGCCCGCGGCGCAUUAGCUGGUUGGUGGGGUAAGGGCCUACCAAGGCGACGAUGCGUGGCCGACCUGAGAGGGUGAGCGGCCACACUGGGACUGAGACACGGCCCAGACUCCUGCGGGAGGCAGCAGUAGGGAAUCAUCCGCAAUGGGCGAAAGCCUGACGGUGCAACGCCGCGUGAGUGAGGAAGGUUUUCGGAUCGUAAAGCUCUGUUGUGAGGGAAGAACAGCUUCCGGAGGAAAUGCCGGAGGUUUGCCGGUACCUCACCAGAAAGCCCCGGCUAACUACGUGCCAGCCGCCGCAGUAA
rnacentral:rRNA from 1 species